UCUUCCGGUCUCAACAAUGCAUUAAAGGGAUGAUACACCAUGAUCACGUGGGAUUUAUCCCAAGGGUGCAAGGAUUUUUCAAUAUCCACAGAUCAAUCAAUAUGAUACACCACAUUAACGAA